rnacentral:rRNA from 1 species
AACGCUAGCUACAGGCUUAACACAUGCAAGUCGCGGGGCAUCAUGAAUUUAGCUUGCUAAGUUUGGUGGCGACCGGCGUACGGGUGAGUAACGCGUAUCCAACCUUCCUCUCUCCACGGAAUAGCCCGUCGAAAGGCGGAUUAAUACCGUAUGAGGUCACCAGAUGGCAUCAGAAAGUGACGAAAGGUUUGGCGGAGAGAGAUGGGGAUGCGUCCGAUUAGCUUGUUGGCGGGGUAACGGCCCACCAAGGCGACGAUCGGUAGGGGUUCUGAGAGGAAGGUCCCCCACAUUGGAACUGAGACACGGUCCAAACUCCUACGGGAGGCAGCAGUGAGGAAUAUUGGUCAAUGGACGGAAGUCUGAACCAGCCAAGUAGCGUGCAGGAUGACGGCCCUAUGGGUUGUAAACUGCUUUUAUGCGGGGAUAAAGUGGGCUACGUGUAGCCUAUUGCAGGUACCGCAUGAAUAAGGACCGGCUAAUUCCGUGCCAGCAGCCGCGGUAAUACGGAAGGUCCGGGCGUUAUCCGGAUUCAUUGGGUUUAAAGGGAGCGUAGGCCGCCUUUUAAGCGUGUUGUGAAAUGUCCUGGCUCAACCAGGGCACUGCAGCGCGAACUGGAGGGCUUGAGUGCGCACGACGCAGGCGGAAUUCGUGGUGUAGCGGUGAAAUGCUUAGAUAUCACGAAGAACUCCGAUUG